GAGGAGUUUAAGAAGAAGACACAUUCUGCCCUACAGAGCUUCAGUAGCAAUGGUCCAUUUGGCAGCAGUGUAACCACAGAUUCUGCACUGCAGCAGGUGUCAGAGCUGCGUGCCCAGUAGGAGGCUCUUAAAGAAGAGGAGCAGAACAUACGCUAUGGUCUCAACAUCUUUAAUAUUGAACAACCAGCCUCUAAAGACAUCCUCACUCUAGAGAAGCUCUCUACAGACCGAGGCCAUGGACAACACUGCCCAGACCAUGUUCAAGAGACUCCACACACUCAGAGAGAGUUCAAGGCAAGUCAGCACAACAUAACC
rnacentral:lncRNA from 1 species